rnacentral:lncRNA from 1 species
ACCACCGUCACACCUCUUAUCUUCUUCAACAACUCAUAAACCCUAACAUAAAUGUUUCAAAUUCAAACCUAUCCACGACUUAAAUAAAUAACAUCUACAAAAACAAUGUCUCCACUAACCCUACAAACUAAUAUAAACAAAAUCGUUACCAGCUUCUACACAACUCAACAACAACAUUAUCAGGUCUAACAACCUGUCCAGAUGUUAUGUUGCACCUGAUGUCCAGAUCCGGCUGUAAAAUACACAAAUCGUAGUCCAAAACCAGAGUGAGAAAGAGAGAGAGAGAGGCGGACAAGCGGUUAGGGUUUAGUGGUGGCGUUAGGGUUUCAGUGGCGAAAUUAGGUGGGGCUUUGAUGGUGAUGGUGAUGCGCGACAAUGGCGUAACAGAAUCAGGGAUGCGGCGACGGAAUGGUUCGUAUUCCGGUGUGGCGGUUGUAUGAUUGCUAUGGUGGUGGUUCGUGUUCCGGUGUAGCGGCUGUAUGAUUGCUAUGGUGGUGAUAUACUCAUUGCUAUGUUCAGUGGUGUAAGAGAAUAGAUCAUUGUCU